ensembl:lncRNA
AUGCCCAGAGCUGUGCCAGCAGCCCGCCCCCAAGCUAUCCUAACGCCCAGGCCACCAGUCCCAUGGGGACAACGCCCAGCCAGGGCCUGGAGCCACCAGCAGUGCUGGGAGGAGGCUCUCUGCACACAGGACCUUUCCCCUCAGCACAGACCAGGCUGCUCUCCCGCCCCGCUCCAUGCUGGAGACCUGCCAGCUGCCCCCAGGUGGGACACAAAGGGGGACACGCAGCGCGUUGCUCACAGCCGGCCUCGUCGCUGCCGUCCGUGCAGUCAGCCUCUCCGUCACACCGCCAGGCCUUGGGGACGCACUCGUGGCCCCGGGAGCAGCCCCACUGCUGGUCACGGCACAGCCCUUCCUCCCUGGGACAGCCCUGCAGGAGCAGGGGUGCGAGCGGUGCCACCAGCCCCCUGGGAGUUGGGGCAGGGGGCUCCCCACCGCACACCCACCUCCUCAUCCGUGCCGUCCUCGCAGUCGGCGGCCCCGUCGCAGCGCCAGGCCUCCGGCACGCACUGCCUGCUGUGGGGACACGCCACCUCGCCCGCGCGGCACAGCAGGGGCCGCGGCACGGCACAGCCCUCCUCGUCCGAUCCGUCCCGGCAGUCUCGGUCCCCGUCGCAGCGCAGGGACACGGCCACACACUGCCCGCUGCGGCAGGGGAACUCGGCUGGGCUGCACUCCUUGGGCGCUCAGUGCUGCUCGUCAGCACGGUCCAGGCAGUCGGCGUGGCCGUCGCACAGCCAGCUCUCGGGGACGCAGCGGGUGGCAGCGUCGCAGCGCAGGGCGCAGUCCUGCGUGGGGCUCCAGCAGCCCGCCUCGUCCGAGGCGUCGGGGCACUGCGGCACCCCGUCGCAGCGCUCGCCAGCCCCGACGCACACGGCGCCGCUCACGCAGCGGAAGGCCCCUGGGGUGUCGCAGAGCUGGGCACAGCCGUCCUCAUCAGAGCCGUCCGCGCAGUCCUUCUCCCCGUCACACACGUACUCCUGGGCCACGCACUCGGUGCCGUCACGGCAGGGCACGUGUGUGCGAGGGCAGGAGAGACGGGGGACCGCGGUGAGGGGGCGUGCGGGGCUGGGCUGGGCGGGCGGGACGCUGGGCUCCACCCGUGCAGGGACGGUUGGGUGCUGCGUGGUUGUAGUUAGCCGUGGGGCGGCGGGCUUGGCUGGCACGGACCGAGCGGUGGUGGCGGUGCUCGUGGUGGCGGUGCUCGUGGUGGUCCUGGGCGGAGCGGUGUGGGUGGUGGCCGGCGCAGAGGUCGUGGUUGGGGUGGGCCGGCUGGUGGUGGUGGUGGCGGCUGGUGCAGGGGUGGUUGUGGUUGGCACAGACUGGCUGGUGGUGGUCGGCGCUGUGGUGGCGGGCACAGCAGUGGUCUUGCGUGGUGGAGGUCGUGUGGUGGAGGUGGGAAGCCAAGCGGACGUGGUGGUUGGGCCUGCCCUUGGAGCAGUGGUCGUGCUUGUCCUCGACGUAGUGGUCGCGGGUGGAUGGAGUGGCAGCGCAGGCCCUCUGGUUGUUGGCACUGGCGCAGGCACUGGAACACAAGCCCGGAUUUGGGGCUGCCCGCCCUCCAGGCACGUCCAGGAGCAACCCAGACGGCCCCCAGCACCCCGGCACUGCCCCGGCUUGGAACAGUGCGGGCCGCCCAGCCACACCAGGUACGACGCUAGGCACGGAGCCCCAGCCCCUCUUACCUGCAGGCAACUCCAAGUCCACGAAGGCCACCGCUCCCUGCACGCCUUCUGCUGGCACAGACAGCACGAGGGCCAGCGUCCUCCGGUCCCAGAGCAGCAGAGACGUCUUGUUAACGGACACCAGGUACGGCUCGAAGGCAGCCACGAGACCGUGGGGCCAGCUGGGUGCCAGGGUGACUGCUUGCCGUUUGGUCAGGCUCAGUGCCCUCAGGCCUGCAGGCAGAGGGAUGUUUUGGUCCUGGGGUUUGCCGGCACCCCUUGUGGCCCACCCUGUGCCCCCACAGCCCCCAGUUAAGGCAGGGACCCCGUGGCUGAGGACAGGAGCCCACCCACGGGACAAAGCCUGUCCCAAGAGCAUCUCACCGCCCAGGCAGGGACCUGCUGCACGUAGGGCACGGCUGGGCACUCCUGCCUCUACAGCAACCCCCUCUGCUCCAGAUUUCUCCAGGGCUCACCCAGGGCUGAGCUCCAGAGCAGGCUGAAGGCCCUGCUAUCCAUGGCCACGGGCAGCUCUCUGGGCCACGUCUCGUUCCAGGCAUCCCGCGGGUCGCCCCCAGCCAGGCUGAGCUGCUGCAGGGGCUGCCCACGAGCCAGCCAGUACAGAGCCCCCCGCUGCCAGUCCAAGAAGAGGUGCUGGAUGCUGCCGCGAGCACGGUGCAGGAUGUGCGGGGUCAUGUCGGGCGCCUGGGUCACCCCGAUGUCCCUCCGGUUACACGCCAGCCAGUACAGGUUCCCUGAGCGGAUGUCCACGCGGGCGGAGCAGACUUGGCAACAGCAGGCAGGCAAGCAAGCAGUUACGGGGCUGUCGCAUGGCCCAGCUCCUCCACCUGGGUCCCCCCUGUCCCUACAGCCAGGGGGCAGCUGACCGGUGCCUCAGCACAGCCCCAGCGCGGGCACCAAGGGACCGCUAAGCUCUGCAGCAGGAGAGCCUCACAUCUCCGGGAGCCCCGAGAAAGCAAGCGUGCCACCGCGGGGCUCCAGCACCCCACGGGAUCUCACCUGGCAGCCCGGUGACGAUGGUUUCUCUCCUCCCGGGGUGCCCCACGACACGCAGCAGCGUCCCCCUGUCAUCUGUCCCGUAGAGCACCGCCCUCUGCCAGUCCACGUCCUGCAGGUGGAGGGGCUCCCGCCACUCCUGCACUCGUCGGCUGCAUGGCCCGGGGCCCACCUGCACCAGGGAGAUGGCUGUCCCUGAGGAGUAGGCGAUGGACAGCUCUGCGGGGCACAAGGGCAGCGUGUGAGCGCGUCUCCAGGGGCGCUGGACGGGCACAGCCCAGGCAGCCUCUGCUGGCAAG